rnacentral:rRNA from 1 species
GGGAAAGUUGAAAAGCACUUUGAAAAGAGAGUGCAAGAGAACGUGAAACCGAUGUAAUGGAAGCGAAUGGAGCCGACGUAUCUAGUGCGUAUUCAUUCGGGUGGGCAUAUUAGGUCUGGUUAUUAUUCCGUAGAGGUUUAUAGCUGGUACUGUUUGUAUGUUCAUUCGAUGCAUUUACGUACGGAGUGCGCUGAGCCGGUUGACUUUGCGGUUGUAAGCGUGUCUAGAGGAUCGACUUCGGUUGAAAACCUGGGCGCGUGGACGGCUGUUGAGGUUGGCUGUAGAUUGGGUCGCAGGCUAACGUGUUCGUUGUGCUUGGAUCAUGAUGCAUUGGCGUGACACAUGUGUGCCGUUAUUGUGUUGUGGUUUGGGUGGGAUGAAUGCUCUGUGUGCUCGCUCGGUGUCUAGUUGGUCACCCAUUUGACCCGUCUUGAAACACGGACCAAGGAGUUUAAGGCGUGCGCGAGUCAAUGGGCUGUGAAACCCAAAGGCGAAAUGAAAGUGAAACACUCAGUGUUUUAGGUGCGAUCGGUAGGUGUUUCGAUGCCCGUCGAGCAGCAUCGCUCCGUUCCUGGGACUUGUCCUGGUGCGGCAGCUGAGCGUACGCCUUGAGACCCGAAAGAUGGUGAACUAUGCCUGAACAGGACGAAGCCAGAGGAAACUCUGGUGGAAGUUCGAAGCGGUUCUGACGUGCAAAUCGAUCGUAUGAUUUUGGUAUAGGGGCGAAAGACUAAUCGAACCAUCUAGUAGCU